GGGAAGGUGGCUCAGUGGUAGAGUGCUUGCCUUGCAAGCAUGAGGCCCUGGGUUCCAUUCCUCAGCCCCA
rnacentral:tRNA from 1 species